rnacentral:rRNA from 1 species
AGAGUUUGAUCAUGGCUCAGGACGAACGCUGGCGGCGCGCCUAACACAUGCAAGUCGAACGGAGCUUACUAUUAGAGCCCUUCGGGGUGACGAGCAGUAAGCUUAGUGGCGGACGGGUGAGUAACACGUGAGCAACCUGCCUUACUCAGGGGGAUAACGUCUGGAAACGGACGCUAAUACCGCAUAACAUGGGAUUGUCACAUGGCGAUUUCAUCAAAGAUUUCAUCGGAGUAAGAUGGGCUCGCGGCUGAUUAGAUAGUUGGCGGGGUAACGGCCCACCAAGUCGACGAUCAGUAGCCGGACUGAGAGGUUGAACGGCCACAUUGGGACUGAGACACGGCCCAGACUCCUACGGGAGGCAGCAGUGAGGGAUAUUGCACAAUGGGGGGAACCCUGAUGCAGCGACGCCGCGUGAGGGAAGAAGGUUUUCGGAUUGUAAACCUCUGUCCUCAGUGAAGAAGAUGACGGUAGCUGAGGAGGAAGCCACGGCUAACUACGUGCCAGCAGCCGCGGUAACACGUAGGUGGCAAGCGUUGUCCGGAAUUACUGGGUGUAAAGGGAGCGUAGGCGGGAGUGCAAGUUGGAUGUGAAAUACCGCAGCUUAACUGCGGGGCUGCAUCCAAAACUGUGCUUCUUGAGUGAAGUAGAGGUAAGCGGAAUUCCUAGUGUAGCGGUGAAAUGCGUAGAUAUUAGGAGGAACACCAGUGGCGAAGGCGGCUUACUGGGCUUUAACUGACGCUGAGGCUCGAAAGCGUGGGUAGCAAACAGGAUUAGAUACCCUGGUAGUCCACGCCGUAAAC